GUUGUAUCAUAUCAAAAUGUUUAAGUGCACCUCCAGAACAUAACCUUCUGAAACCCCCUUAUUUUCACUGGGCAUAGGCCAGCUCCCAGUUUGGGGUUGUGUUACUUGGUGUCCGUGAUAAGCUGUAACCGCAUCUUAAUCAAAUGCCAAAGAUCAAAACUUCUCAUGAAGCCCACAGCCUAACAUGUGAUAGCUGAGGUUGUUUUACUUUUCUUCAUGCGCAAGAGUAAAGCACCGCCAAUGACGCAUUAGUUUUGCUCUUUCGCUCCCUAGGUGCUGGAACAAUGAAGGAGACCACAAGGAAUUCUUAAUUUGUAUUUAACAUAUUGCCAAUUUAAUGCUCAGCUUGCUAAAGUGCUUUAUUUGUUAGGAGUCUGUAGUUUCUAGUCAAAUUAAAUCGUGUCUCUCAAUUCGAAUAGAAAAAUUAGUACUUUUAUAAUUCUUGCAAAAAAACCUCGCUCACUGUUGAUGGCAGCUUCAGCAGAGGCUUCUCGGUGAGAAGUUUAGAAUUGGAGUAUUUUCCAGCACAGACUGAAACGCUGUCAGGGAAAGAGAGGAGGCCUUGCAAAGGCUGCACACAACAGGUCUGCAGUUUUUGCAAGUGUUUUUUUGUUAAUUGUAGGUAUGCUGUGAGUGCAGGAUUUAGUAAUUCAUGCCCACCAGACAGUUAACGCAUGUUCAAAGUUUAACAGAUUUGUGGGUAUGAUCUACUAUAUCAUGCAAACAAGAUAAAUAGAUCAUGGGCAGUAUGAUCAGCUCUUCCUCUUACCACCUACCUCACUACUGCCUUGGCUAAACACCCCCCCUCCUUGUGCAGCGUGCUCAAAACACCUCCUCUCCUGUGAGCACCUGCUCUCCUCAUUCUAAUUCAAUGUAUUUUAAACCGCACACCUCCACAAACAUGUAUUUAUAUAGAUGCAAUACACAACUAUUAUAUUGCACGUGGACAUAUAUACCCGCACAAAAUACACACACACACACACGCACUAAGGACCUGUAUGGUUCACCCUUGGUAGGCCAGCCUGCUUAAAUAGCAGGCAGCCUGGUGCGCAUUCUGGGCAGACAUGCUUUUGGAUGACACAAGUUAUGCAGUUCAUGUCAAUUGCCUGCUUCCUCCUACACUGUCCGCCACCAUCCCUCUUCAUGGGACACGGAUGGUGGGGGGUUAUAUACAAACAUAUAC